AGUUUGAGACCAGCCUGGGCAACAUAGCGAAACCCUGUGUCUACUAAAAAUACAAAAAUUAGUUGGGCGUGGUGGUGCAUGCCUGUAAUCCCAGCUACUCAGGAAGCUGAGACACAAGAAACUGCUUAAAUCCGGGAGGGAGAAGUUGCAGUGAAUUGAGAUGGUGCCACUGCACUCCAACCUGGGUGAUAAAGUGAGACUCCCUCAAAAAAAAAAUAAAAAAUAAAAAAUGGUGACGGGCGUCUCACUCUGUCACCCAGGCUGGAAUGCAGUGGUACAAUCAUAGCUCAUUACAG
rnacentral:lncRNA from 1 species